CAGUAGUUACAGACAGACCCCUGAGUGCUGCAGCACUGACACACGCCUCAUGGUGCUGCCAUGUGUGAAAGACAUAGAGAAGAAGUCGUUCAAAAGACUCAGUGAAGAAGAAAGCAACCAACUGCAGUGGAGCUGACCUUCAACCUCAAACUGUUCUUCCUCUCCAAGCUUCAUGUCAUCUCGCCUUUAUUUUGAAAAGAUCCCGACGACGUCUACACCACCACCAACUACAGGCGGAAAAAAAAACAGAGCUCCCACCAAUCUGUGCUUCAGGCUAAAGGAGUCUCCCUACAUCCAGUUUCUGUGUUGUGACCUUGAAGACACACUGUUGCUGUGGGUCAACUCCAUCAGAUAAGCCAAGAUGGGGGUCGUGUGAUGGUAUGUGGUGACCCACUCAGCAAGCAGUUGGCCCCCGUUGACGUGCGGCUGCUGG